CUUUCUGAACUUUCUGAUCGUGAAGUUUUUGAGAAGUCAUUAAUAAAUUUGUGGUCCCAAACGAAAGGCUUUCUUGUUCUUAUUGAAUAUGGAAACAAAACUGGUUUUCAAACUAUAACAGUUGCGAGAAAUAUUUUGUUGCGUUUGAGUAAUGCGAAACUCAUUUCUCCAUGUCCGCAUUCUUUUUCUUGUCCAAAAAUUGGGGAGGAACGCACAUGCUUUUUUGUGCAGAACUCCGAAUUUCCUUCGAAAACUGUUUUAAACCAAAAAGUGAAGAAGAAAGGGGUUUUUCGAGAGCACUUUUCUUUUCUUAUUAUUGAAAAAAGGGAACAUUCGAAAAUAUCCGGAAGUGAUGA